rnacentral:rRNA from 1 species
AGACAGAGGGUGCAAGCGUUAAUCGGAAUUACUGGGCGUAAAGCGUACGUAGGCGGUUAUUUAAGUCUGAUGUGAAAGCCCCGGGCUUAACUUGGGAACUGCAUUUGAAACUGGGUAACUAGAGUUUAGUAGAGGGGAGUGGAAUUUCAGGUGUAGCGGUGAAAUGCGUAGAGAUCUGAAGGAACACCAGUGGCGAAGGCGACUCCCUGGACUAAAACUGACGCUGAGGUACGAAAGCGUGGGUAGCAAACAGGAUUAGAAACCCUAGUAGUCC